UUGGCGGCUCAAGGGCAGAAAUUUAUUGUCAUUUAAAAUAAACUACAUCGACAUUAACGAUAUCUCGUGCUGUAUCGUGUUUAAAAAUGUAAAACAUACAUGAAGUGUUGAUAUCUGACACCUGCCUACUGAUAAUGCUGAAAUAGGCCAAAUUACAAACAUUUAUAAUGUAACACCUAAUAAGGCAGAUCCUUUGUCUCUUUGGUUAUUAAAUCUUUAUUGUUUUUUAUUCUAGUUUUAAGAUGCCAUGAGGGUCAACAAUAACAACAUGUGUUGGUUGCAAAGCAGCUAUUGGUGUGGCCACCAAGACCUGCAAAUAUUGCCAAUCAGUGCAGCCAUGAAAGCAAAGACUGGCAAAAAAAACUUCAGAAAUUUGAGGACAGAAAGGAGACGUGGUUAAAAAACCAAAACAAAAACCAAACCACCUCUCAUGUUAUUGAUGAGGCAUCUGUCUUGGUGGAAAAGUUAAACACAUUGGGGUACAAGGCCAUAGUCUUUAUUGGAAAGAAAACCAAAAAGCAGAAAACCUGGUCCGCACAAGUCCUCCAGCCAAAAUGGCAGCUGUCAGAUCAUUCUGAAAAAUGCCUUGACAGGAUGAAGGCUCUCUUUGAACUGUUAAUUAAUGAUUGUACUAACCAGCAGCCCACCACCACCAGUCCUCCUCCCAUCCAGCCCACCACC